rnacentral:rRNA from 1 species
AGGAAAGCAGGGGAUCGCAAGACCUUGCGCUUUUGGAGCGGCCGAUGUCUGAUUAGCUAGUUGGUGAGGUAAAGGCUUACCAAGGCUUCGAUCAGUAGCUGGUCUGAGAGGACGACCAGCCACACUGGGACUGAGACACGGCCCAGACUCCUACGGGAGGCAGCAGUGGGGAAUUUUGGACAAUGGGGGAAACCCUGAUCCAGCCAUGCCGCGUGAGUGAAGAAGGCCUUCGGGUUGUAAAGCUCUUUCAGCCGGAACGAAACGGUCACGGUUAAUACCCGUGAUCACUGACGGUACCGGAAGAAGAAGCACCGGCUAACUACGUGCCAGCAGCCGCGGUAAUACGUAGGGUGCGAGCGUUAAUCGGAAUUACUGGGCGUAAAGCGUGCGCAGGCGGUUUUGUAAGUCAGAUGUGAAAUCCCCGGGCUCAACCUGGGAACUGCNGUUGAAACUACAAGGCU